rnacentral:rRNA from 1 species
GCCACUGGAAACGGUGAUUAAUACCGGAUACUCCUUCUUGUUAUAAGACAAGUCGGGAAAGUUUUUCGCUAAGGGAUCAGUCUAUGUUCCAUCAGCUUGUUGGUGAGGUAAUGGCUCACCAAGGCUAUGACGGAUAUCUGGUUUGAGAGGAUGAUCAGACACACUGGAACUGAGACACGGUCCAGACUCCUACGGGAGGCAGCAGUGAGGAAUAUUGCACAAUGGAGGAAACUCUGAUGCAGCAACGCCGCGUGGAGGAUGACGCAUUUCGGUGUGUAAACUCCUUUUAUUAGGGAAGAUAAUGACGGUACCUAAUGAAUAAGCACCGGCUAACUCCGUGCCAGCAGCCGCGGUAAUACGGAGGGUGCAAGCGUUACUCGGAAUCACUGGGCGUAAAGGGUGCGUAGGCUGGCUUUUAAGUCAGAUGUGAAAUCCAAUGGCUCAACCAUUGGACUGCAUUUGAAACUGAAAGCCUAGAGUUCAGAAGGGGCAGAUGGAAUUAGUGGUGUAGGGGUAAAAUCCGUAGAUAUCACUAGGAAUAUCAAAAGCGAAGGCGAUCUGCUGGGAUGAUACUGACGC